UACUUGCUGCGAUGAAUCUACAAGGACGAUAUCUGAGUAAGGUAGCUCUUGAAAAGAUGCUCCUUCAUUGAUUAUGCAUCCUGAACUGAUCAUAUUUUCUGAACAAACA